UGAGCUCCACGACUGAGGAUUCAUCACACUCCUUCCCUGCCAUGAUCUGCCUCAUGAUCUGCAGGCUGAAGAAAGGGCCUGGCAUCCCGGAGAGCACUCAGGAGGUAAUCAAUAAGUACUUACUGACUGCCUGAUUGACUAAUGCACUUUGCAUUUGGAUUUCAAAUAAAGAAGCCCUUGAAGACGCCUAGAUUUUCCUACAAAUGAUUUAAAAUGGACCUGUAUUGCAUGGCGGUAAAUUCACUGAUCUUUUGCAGAUGAACAAGUUGAAAUACGAAGAGGAUUAAAAUAAUCUCAAGGUCAAGAGGGGAUUAGUGAUAGCCACAAACUGGAGUUCGAGGUCAAACAUCCUGACUGCCUGUUUAUUGAAUUUAAAGUCUUUGAAUUGUGCUUUCUUUUCCUUCUGACACAGGUAGCUUUUUUGCAUGUGUUAAUCUCUGAUAUAUAGGCUCUGACAAGUUGAAAUGUGAACCUGAUUCUUUUUUGUUUUAUCUUGUUUAUUUUUUAAGUGACUGUAACAAGUCAAAAUGUAUCUAAUUAUCUAUUGUGGUAGUUUCUUUUUGUUCCUAACUGUACCUCGUGUGUCCUUAUUGCUUUGGUAUCUAGCACAGUACUUGGCACAUAGGAGAUAUGAGAUACUUGAUAAAUAUUUAUUGGGUGGAUGAACAUAAUCAAAUAAAAUUAUCUUUUUAGAGUAUUGAACAAUUAGCAUGCCUAAAUUCUCUUUUAUAGCAUUGAGGGAAGUUAAAUGUAUAAACUGCUAUAUUUAAUUCAUAGCAGUAUAUUCUUCACGCCAAAUCAUAAUUAAUUUGCCUAGUUAUUGUCCUUUAGGGAUUAAAUAAAGUGAAUCCACUAUAGCAUCAUCCUUGAUUUGCUUCCUACACCACAGGCUAAACGAGGCUUUAAUUUUCAUCAGUAAAAGUGUAACACAUACUUAGGGAAAGAAAAACACUUCCUCCAAUUGGAAUAAGAGGUAAUUUAAGGAGACACAAUUAUUGGUCCCAAGUUAGCAAAAAAAAAAAAAAAAAAAGUGUUUUAAACCUGACUCAUGUGUGCCUUAUGGAUUUCAUAACUGAUGAUUAGCUUUUCUUAAUCAGUUGAACAUCCAUUUAAGGGACAAAUUGAUUAGCUCCUUGCAUAAUUAACAGAACAUUGAGUACCAUCACUUUCAGUGGAAAAAAUUGUUUUGAUUAACAGCAAAUAUGCACAGUUUAACAUUAAUACAUUAAAUAAGAUUAUAUCAUUAAUAAUCUGUUUUUCCCAAAAGAAUGUAGCUCAGUGGCCAAUGUUUGCAAUUCCCAAAGUAUUUUCGUUUUUUCUGUCUAGCAUUAAAUUUAAUAUAUCUGUUCCACAGAGCAUGAGAGCAUAAUUUAAUGUAUAAAUAAUAACCAACAUUACUAUGUGAUCAAACUCUCAAUUUGUGUUAGCUCUUUUCUUAGUGAAAUGGUAAACACCAUGAUUCAAAAGCACAGAAGAAGGAAAAUAAUUAAAUGUUAAACUUGCACAAAUAAUUUAAAAAGAAGAAGUAAGGAAUUGAAAGAUUGACAAGAAUAUUAAAAUGGAGAGAAUGGUUAUUAAACCUGCCAGGAGCCAUAAAGGACAAGAGACAUGAGCCAAUAGAUGUGACAGAGUUAAACAAUGUGUAAAUAUAAAACCGUGGAAGCAAUAAAACAUUAGAAAAAUGAAAGAUGCAAAAGGAUCUUUCUUCUGAAGCCAGGUCCAAGAAAAUACUCAAAUGCGGAGGAACAACUAAGAAAUAGAUCUUACAAUCCACAGACAGUCAGCAAACUUUAAAGAUGUGCUAUGUCUGUAAUACAUAGGAAAUUGCAUUAAAUUAUACAAAUAAUUAAACCUAAACUUUCAGAAUGUUAGAUGACGCCGUCCUGAGCCAGAUGGUAGUUGGUUCUGACUGCAUCUUGGGCACUGAAGACCUAAUUAGUCUUUGCGAGGAGGUGUGAAGGUGUUAGUCAGUUUUGGAGUUUGGGCUACACAGGACAGGGUGAUGGAGAUGCUAGAAUAUUCAAAACUGAUGAGGCCUGAGGCAAGUUUCAAACCAUAUUUUCAGAAGUUUAGAAACAGAGAAUAUGUAGGAAAUUUGGUUUUGACUUGUUUCUAGAAGUCUACGUUCUAUAUUUGUCUUUUUAAUCCCUCAUGUUAAAUCGCCAGUCCCAGUAAGGAUUAGUUUAAAAGAAAACUGCUUUGUAGGCUCCUAUCAAUAACAUACUGGUCUACUAAUCUAAAAUAAUUAUGUCAUUUUAAUAUUACUACAUUUUACCUGUUCACUAGGGGAUGUGUAGUUGUGACAAUGCAAACAUUACCUGACUAGUACCAGAGACUCCAUAGUUCCUGAAAAAUAGUCAAAUAACUUCAAUUCCAAUAGACCAACUUCUUUUUUGUGGGCGGGUGGGGGUAUGGAGAAUCAAACGCAGGACCUCAUGCUUACCAGGCAGGUGCUGCACCACUGAGCUAUAUCCCUGGCCCCUAGACCAACUUCUUAAAUGUUAGUGUUUAUAAGUGCUGCUUGACUAGCACAAUGAAAAUAAAUUCACUGGCUGGUCCUUGGUGAUUCUGACUCAAUACAUUUGAGAUGAAAACUAAGUAUUUACCUCCAAAACUGAUAGGAGAUCAGUUUUGAAAGUCACACACAAACCGAGAGCUCCUUAGAGUAAGCAUUAUUAUCAUUAUUAUUGCUGUUGUUGUAAUUGCUUCACAAACUAAAUGUGAUGAUGCUUAGCAAUAGUAAUAAUUUAUUGAGUGAAUAAAUAAAUGAAUGUAUGAACCUGAAA